GAUGGACGCUGGCGGCGUGCUUAACACAUGCAAGUCGAACGGUGAAAGAGAGCUUGCUCUCUGGAUCAGUGGCGAACGGGUGAGUAACACGUGAGCAAUCUGCCCCUGACUCUGGGAUAAGCGCUGGAAACGGCGUCUAAUACCGGAUACGAGCUGCGAAGGCAUCUUCAGCAGCUGGAAAGAACUUCGGUCAGGGAUGAGCUCGCGGCCUAUCAGCUAGUUGGUGAGGUAACGGCUCACCAAGGCGUCGACGGGUAGCCGGCCUGAGAGGGUGACCGGCCACACUGGGACUGAGACACGGCCCAGACUCCUACGGGAGGCAACAGUGGGGAAUAUUGCACAAUGGGCGAAAGCCUGAUGCAGCAACGCCGCGUGAGGGACGACGGCCUUCGGGUUGUAAACCUCUUUUAGCAGGGAAGAAGCGAAAGUGACGGUACCUGCAGAAAAAGCGCCGGCUAACUACGU
rnacentral:rRNA from 1 species